GACGAACGCUGGCGGCGUGCUUAACACAUGCAAGUCGAACGGAAAGGCCCUGCUUUUGUGGGGUGCUCGAGUGGCGAACGGGUGAGUAACACGUGAGUAACCUGCCCUUGACUUUGGGAUAACUUCAGGAAACUGGGGCUAAUACCGGAUAGGAGCUCCUGCUGCAUGGUGGGGGUUGGAAAGUUUCGGCGGUUGGGGAUGGACGGGCGGCUUAUCAGCUUGUUGGUGGGGUAGUGGCUUACCAAGGCUUUGACGGGUAGCCGGCCUGAGAGGGUGACCGGCCACAUUGGGACUGAGAUACGGCCCAGACUCCUACGGGAGGCAGAAGUGGGGAAUAUUGCACAAUGGGCGGAAGCCUGAUGCAGCAACGCCGCGUGCGGGAUGACGGCCUUCGGGGUGUAAACCGCUUUCGCCUGUGACGAAGCGUGAGUGACGGUAAUGGGUAAAGAAGCACCGGCUAACUACGUG
rnacentral:rRNA from 1 species